GCGAGGCGCACUGUACUCGGGGCGGGGCAACGGGAAAACGGGGAGCGCCGAGCCCGGCGGAGUUCCAGCCGUGUCCGCGCUUGGAAAGACCGGGAGCGCCGAGCUCGGCGGUAUUCCAGCGCCGUCCGCCUUCGGAAGACCCGGAAGCCCCAGAGAUCCGCCCGUACAUACUGCGCGUUGAUGUUUUCGGGCUGGACACACCGGCGCUGGUUCCUGCUGAGAUGAGCUGCCUGAACUGAUUCCCUGUGGAGGGGAUGAAAGGCGCAAAGCUGAGCCAGAGGGCUGUGAGGCUGUGGAAGGGGGGCUGCUGUGGCAGCACUGACAGGUCUAAGUUCUGCAGGACAACCACCUGCCCUUACACAGACAGUUCCCCUCCAGCUAACUCAGAAUAAAAACGUUCCCAGGCUCCCCUCAGCACAGUACUUCCCUGCACUCUACUGGUGCCAGCAUUUGUCUUUAAGCAAACAUCUAAAGCACAGCAUCAGUUCUCUAACAGCAAGAUCCAAGUACGAACUUAGGCAGCUGACUGCCUCUUGUUCAGAAAAUACUCCAAACACACCAUCAUUGAAAACAGGCACCUCUGUAUGCAUACUGGAGUUAAUUCUGAGCGGUGUGGUGUGUAACAUCCUUGAAAAAGUUCAGGUUAGAACUACAAUUUUGGCUUUAAAUGCUUAAAAUUGGAAGCAGCUUAAGUGAAGUUGACAAGUCUGAAUUCUGCAUGCACCAAAAGCUGCCUUCUUCCUGAAUUCAACUGUUUACUUAGUGUGCCGAAGAGACAAAAUGCAUGUAGGAUUGUACAUGCUCAGUAAGACUUCUCUGACGUGGUAAGUCGGUUAUUAAAAUUUGGUUUAUUGAUGGAAUAUUUUAGUAAUUUAAAUCAGCAUGUGAAACAUUCACCUGUUCAAGACAAUCACAGCUGUAAAUUGCAAGCUGCCAAUGGUUUACAGAAAAUAAAGAGUAGGAGGGGGACGACUCCUAAAGAGUCAGGACACUGUCUCCAAAAGACAACUGGGAGUCAAAGGUUCAAGUAAGACCUUUAUUGCAACACAGAGUUGACAGCAUGUUUUUGUAUUUAAUAAAAAGUAUUUGGUCUCUUGGUGGUGAAACGCGGUUUGUGCUGGCGACGCAGAACUCUGUGUGGCAGAGGGAACUUGAUUUUAGAAUCCUGCAAGAAAAAAUGUUUCUACGUUAAUAGAGUAUUAGAUAAAUAACAGAAAACAGUUUGCAAUAAAUAGCCAAGCCGUAUUCCAUGAAUAACUCACACAGAGAAGUAAUGCAUCCACAAAUUAGAUAUACUUCAUGGGCC